GACUAACACAUGCAUCCAUUAUGAUCCGUCUCUGUUGCUCAUCCGGACGUUUGAUCAAAUUAAACAAUGUGUGGGUUAAGGAAUCCCGUGUGGUACUAUCUGGAUGACGCUCUAUUGCACACAUCAUUAGGGGAAGAAGCUCCUCCCGAUGAUUGAUCAAAACAUGGGGUACAAUCUUGGGCAAGGCAUCUGCAAGGAUUUGAAUUGUUUCUAAACCCAUGUUUCCUGAAGCAGCUUCAACAUUUAAAUUGUCCAAUUCCAUGUAUGGCCCACCAUCUUCCGAGGGUGGUUCAUCAUUUUGUUUAA
rnacentral:misc_RNA from 1 species